rnacentral:rRNA from 1 species
CUACGGGAGGCAGCAGUGGGGAAUAUUGGACAAUGGGCGAAAGCCUGAUCCAGCCAUGCCGCGUGUGUGAAGAAGGCCUUCGGGUUGUAAAGCACUUUCAGUGGGGAAGAAAGCCUUGGGGCUAAUACCCUCGAGGAAGGACAUCACCCACAGAAGAAGCACCGGCUAACUCCGUGCCAGCAGCCGCGGUAAUACGGAGGGUGCGAGCGUUAAUCGGAAUUACUGGGCGUAAAGCGCGCGUAGGCGGUCUGAUAAGCCGGUUGUGAAAGCCCCGGGCUCAACCUGGGAACGGCAUCCGGAACUGUCAGGCUAGAGUACAGGAGAGGAAGGUAGAAUUCCCGGUGUAGCGGUGAAAUGCGUAGAGAUCGGGAGGAAUACCAGUGGCGAAGGCGGCCUUCUGGACUGACACUGACGCUGAGGUGCGAAAGCGUGGGUAGCAAACAGGAUUAGAUACCCCGGUAGUC